rnacentral:rRNA from 1 species
AUUGAACGCUGGCGGCAGGCUUCACACAUGCAAGUCGAGCGAGCGGCGGACGGGUGAGUAAUGUCUGGGAAACUGCCUGAUGGAGGGGGAUAACUACUGGAACCGGUAGCUAAUACCGCAUACCAUCAGAUGUGCCCCGAUGGGAUUAGCUAGUAGGUGGGGUAAUGGCUCACCUAGGCGACGAUCCCUAGCUGGUCUGAGAGGAUGACCAGCAACACUGGAACUGAGAAACGGUCCCGACUCCGACGGGAGGAAGCAGUGGGGAAUAUUGCACAAUGGGCGAAAGCCUGAUGCAGCCAUGCCGCGUGUGUGAAGAAGGCCUUCGGGUUGUAAAGCACUUUCAGCGAGGAGGCGUUACUCGCAGAAGAAGCACCGGCGAACUCCGUGCCAGCAGCCGCGGUAAUUC